GAUGACUUCACGGCUAGCGAAAUUACUAGAAAGGGCUCGACCGCUGGGCCCCGAGACCAUCGCUGCGCCUGCGCUCUCGCGAUCCAGGAGAAGACGUUACUGCCCGGAGCGUGGGAAGCUAAGUUAAUGGAGGAAAGGUGCUCGUAACCAAAGAAUAAUGUAGAUGUCUGUAACCACGACGCGCAAUGCUGUGGAGUCUUUGCUCCACGGCCUGGACUUCCUGCCCUCGGGUCAGCCGGGUGUGCUCAGCUGAUCAGGUCACCUGUGUCGACUGUGGCCUCCGCUCCGAUGCUGAUAUCCCUGCGCGAGCACCCCCGAUUUUCUGUGAACACUGUCUAUCAUGUUUGGGGCAGAAACAGAGUACCCACCGAACUGGGACUGUUUAAUGUAGCUGAGGUGUUCAUUUUUUAUUCUUACAUCAAAUAAGUUACUGCUUUAUUUCAGACUUUAGGUGGCAUUGAAGAUUAUUCAAAACUUGUUUUCAGUGUAAUAUGAAUACAAAUAGGAAAUAGGAAGUUAUUUUUCUCCCUGAGAAUUCUAACUUUGAGAUGACGUCAGUUUACCCUUAAAGAUGACUUGCAAGGAUUAUACAACCCAGGACAUUAACUUAGUGUUACACAAAUGUAAGCCUUGACAGACCAUUGUGACCCAAAUAUGCAAAGAUAUCUGUAUUUCUGUUUUUAAACCAUCCAACUCUGUUCUGGGAAUGAAUACUCUAGCAUGAUGACUA